AUUGAACGCUGGCGGCAUGCCUUACACAUGCAAGUCGAACGGUAACGCGGGGCAACCUGGCGACGAGUGGCGAACGGGUGAGUAAUAUAUCGGAACGUGCCCAGUAGUGGGGGAUAGCCCGGCGAAAGCCGGAUUAAUACCGCAUACGACCUACGGGUGAAAGGGGGGGAUCGCAAGACCUCUCGCUAUUGGAGCGGCCGAUAUCAGAUUAGCUAGUUGGUAGGGUAAAAGCCUACCAAGGCAACGAUCUGUAGCUGGUCUGAGAGGACGACCAGCGAAACUGGGACGGGGAGACGGCCCAGACUCCUACGGGAGGCAGCAGUGGGGAAUUUUGGACAAGGGGCGCAAGCCUGAUCCAGCCAUGCCGCGUGUGGGAAGAAGGCCUUCGGGUUGUAAACCACUUUUGUCAGGGAAGAAACGCUCUGGAUUAAUACUCUGGGGUAAUGACGGUACCUGAAGAAUAAGCACCGGCUAACUACGUGCCAGCAGCCGCAGUAA
rnacentral:rRNA from 1 species